rnacentral:rRNA from 1 species
GUCGAGAAUCUUCCGCAAUGCGCGAAAGCGUGACGGAGCGACACCGCGUGAUGGAUGAAGUCCUUCGGGGCGUAAACAUCUUUUAUAAAGGAGGAAAUUUUUGACGUUACUUUAUGAAUAAGGGGCUCCCAAUCUCGUGCCAGCAGGAGCGGUAAUACGAGAGCCUCAAGCGUUAUCCGGAAUCAUUGGGCGUAAAGGGUGCGUAGGUGGUUUGAUUAGUCUCCCGUUAAAACUUCGAGCUUAACUCGAAAAGAGCGGGGGAAACGGUCAAACUAGAGUAUGUGAGAGGUGUGUAGAACUCAUGGUGUAGGGGUGAAAUCCGUUGAUAUCAUGGGGAACACCAAAAGCGAAGGCAGCACACUGGCACAUCACUGACACUGAGGCACGAAACCUAAGGUAGCGAAUGGGAUUAGAUACCCCAGUAGUCC